UUUUUUAAACAUAAAUGCUUUGAAUAUUAAAAAAAAUAUAUUGUUUCCUAAAACAAUAAUUAAACAAAUUUAAAUAAAAUAUAAAAAAAAAAUUAUUAAGAAAUACUAUAAAAAACAAAAUUAACAAGAAUUUCAUAAAGGAUACGCCUAAAACUGUGAUUAAAAACAACAACAAUUUUAUUUCAAGGGAUUACCUAUCUAUAUUUUUGCCAGAAACUACAAAACUGCAAGGAUUUUAACAAAAUUUUAUCACUAACAAAAUUUUAUUGGAUUUAAAUAUUUUCGUUUGCAAAACAUUAUUAUUAUUUCGCUUAAAUAAAUAAACAAAUUUGAUUGAUCGUUCAACAACAGCAUUAUAAUUCUCAAACUCAAACACACACACACUAUAUUUUGCUGUUAAUUCUACUAAUUACAACAAAAA